rnacentral:misc_RNA from 1 species
UACAUACAUAUUUGUCCAGAAAAAAUACAAGCAACUUAAUAUUUAAAUUUUUUGAAAAGUAUAAAAUCUUCUAUUAUGUGUAACACAUUUGAAGAUUUCAGAAUUAAUUUUGCCGAAACCGAAUGGCAAUUUUGGUGUAGACUCUGUGCUAAAGACGAUGUACGAAAUAUCAAAAUAUAUCCAGAACAAAAUCAAACUCCAGUUGACACAAACGAAACACUUGUAGACUUCAUAGCGGAUUUUUUUAAAGUUCAAAUGCAGCAGAAUGAAAAUUUACCACAUUGGCUUUGUGCACAAUGCUUUUCAUUGGUUUCGACCUUGUUCAAAUUCACAAAACAAGUUAACAUGGUGCAAAGAAUGUACAACGAAAUACAAAGUUCUGGCAACAAAAAUGUUAUAGAUUUUCGUGUGAUACGAGAUAAAUAUAAUUUACUUGAGUAUGAGUUCGUCACGUCUAAUAGGUCGGAUACAAAGUCAGCUAUUGAAAAUAUCUUUGUUGCCGCUGCACCAGAAAUAUUUGUACACAACUCCUUGGAUAAUAUUGUUAAGAAUGAAAUCAUAUCGGACGAGUUACAGAGUGGCAUCUUUCUUAAUGCAGGCGAAUAUAAUAGGGAAUUUCAAGAUCCAAUUGGUGAUGUAAUUACAAAUCCUACUGAUGAAGUAGAGAGUAAUAUUUCCCUUAACCAUAUUAAAGAUGAUAGUGAAUCCGAACCAAAUGGAAAACAAUACAAAAAACAAAGUCGGAUGAAAAAGCAACCAAAUUCCUCGGAUCAAGAAUCAAAAACAGACAAAUACUUCUGUAACGAAUGCUCACUACAUUUCAAAAGGGGUAGUAAUUAUGGUAUUCAUAUGAAGAAAAAGCACGGUAUUGACAUAGCAAGAGAUACUUGUUUUUCUUGUUCGCAAUGUUCGAAGACUUUCAAAUAUAAAUUCAAAUUAAAUCGUCAUGUAAAAAUACAUCGACCGUUAGCGGAAAAGUGUAUAUUUCCAUGUCCACAAUGUGAUAGAAAAUUCCAAACUAAGGAUUAUGUUUUGCGACAUAUAAAGUUUGUUCAUGAAGAUAUACGCUCAUUCGUUUGCGAAGAGUGUGGUGAGUGUACACGCACGGAAGCUACACUGCGGGAGCACAUGCUUAUACACACCGACUAUGCACCUUUUGAAUGUGAAGUUUGUAAGAAAGGAUUUAAAAAUCAAGCGCGUUUGAAGAGGCAUAUGGAGAUGCACAGCGAUCAUAAACAUAUAUGCGGUGAGUGUGGUUUAGGAUUGAAUUCGCGUUUAACUUUGAAUCGUCAUAUGAUUGUGCAUUCUGAUGAAAUGCGGCAUAAAUGUGAUUAUUGUGGGCGCGAAUUUAAACGUGUGAAAGCUUUAAAAAGUCAUUUAAUACUUCAUAGUGGCUUAAAGCCAUAUUCAUGUGACUUCUGUGACAAAACGUUUGCCCAUGGCUCAAAUUGUCGCACUCACAAAAAAAAAUUUCAUCCCGAAGAAUUUGCGGCCUUAGAGGCUUCCGGAGAAAAGAAGUUCACUAAAAAUAUCCCUAAAUUAGCGGUUUUAAAAACAGUUACCCGCACAGCUGAGAAUCUUCUGCCCGUGGUAUGUAAACAAAGUGGAAACUUUUCUUCCGGCAAAAAACCGAACCUCCAAUCAGUUGUAAAGGAGAAACACAACACCGUUCCUACGACAGUCGGGUCUAAGUAAACGGAGCGGGCCCGGAUUUUUAUCCAAUGUUGUCAAUUCGGCGCCAUUCCUCGAAAUUACUUCAGGAAUGUUUUCUGCCGCUUCAACAACAACAACGAAACAUAAAAAUAUGCAGGGAAUAAUACAUAAGUGUGUGCGCUGUGAUUGUGCUCAAGUGAUUACUCUUGGCCGGCGACCUGAUGAUGACUAAAUAACAGACAAUAUAAUACCAAGAAUUGAUAACUGGGUCAAUGGGUAUACACAUGCAACCUACAUUCACUUAUGUAUAUGAUGAUUGAUAUAUAUUAAUGGCUACUAUAUUUCUAGUUUACGUGUUUAAAACUAAGUCUUAAUUUUUAAUGACUAAAACGUCUGCAGUUAUUGAAAAUGUAUAAAAAGAGGCCACUUUAUACAACGGAUUGAAAUGCUCUUAUUAAAGCCUCACUUAAGCAUACCAAAAUUGUCAGUAUGUAUUGAAAUGUAUUUAUAGGA